rnacentral:lncRNA from 1 species
CGAGUUCUCGGGAACAGCGGCUCGGCCUGCAAGGCUGUUGUUUCAAGAAAUGAAAAUGAAGGGCGCCCUGGAAUAGGUUCGCCGAAGAGAGAGCAACAUGGCCUGUCGCGGUGGCUCAUGCCUGUAUUCCCAGCACUUUGGGAGGCCAAAGCAGGAAGAUCGCUUGAGCCCAGGAGUUUGAGACCAUCCUGGACAAGCUUGCAGGCCUCUGGGAAGCAAGCCAUCGUGUGGCAGAGGCCCAGGUGGCAAGGAACCAAGGGCGGCUUCUGGCCAACAGCCAGCGAGGACCUGAGACCGUAGCCCAACACCCCUCCAGGAACUGAAUUUUGCCAGCAACCAGUGAGUGACCUUGGAAGUGGAUCCUUCCCCCGAAAGCCCGGCUUUCAGCUCAGAGAAUGGAAAAAUAUCUCUUCCUAAAGACACAGAGAAACAUAAACAAACCUGACCAAUAGAAGGACCAAAACCUCUGCACAGUGCCUCACCCCUCGGAGGAAUUAACAAAAAUACGGAGGCUGGUGGGACCUCAACCCCAGCUGGUAUCCAGGCUCUUGACACCAUCUGGAGAAGGAAUUCAAGAGUGUGUCAGAAAAUGAUGAAAGUACAAAGAUUUAUUGCAAAGCGAAAAAUACACACUCAAGAAAGGGGAGUAUGGGUGGACUCAAGACAGAGUCCGAUGGGACUUGGGGUUUCUACCUUUUGGGUUUCUUUUUUUUUUUUUUUUGAUAUGGAGUCUCGCACUGUUGCCCAGGCUGGAGCGCAGUGGCGUGAUUUUGGCUCACUGCAACCUCUGCCUCCCGGGUUAAAACGAUUCUCCUGCCUCAGCGUCCCAAGUAGCUGGGAUUACAGGCUCCCACCACCAUGCCCGGCUAAUUUUUGUAUUUUUAGUAGAGACGAGGCCUCACCAUAUUGGCCAGGCUGUUCUCGAACUCCGGACCUUAGGUGAUCUGCCUGCCUCAGCCUCCCAAAGUGCUGGGAUUACAGGCGUGAGCCACCAUGCCCAAUGGGUGUGGGAUUUAGUAUAUUAAUGAGUGUAUAAUGAGGUCCUUGGUGAAACCUACAUCAAAUCCAGCACCGUGUUGGGUCCAGUCUGUCUUAGCCAGCUUGGUCCACACCCUGGUUUUUUAGGGUCUUAUUGGCCCCUUACUUCUGCAGCAAAAGUUUCCUUUUGCUAGUCAUGUGAAACUGCCACCUGGAAUUUUCUAUUCUCUAGUGACCACCCUGUAUUAUUCCUGUCUCACUGGGACCCUAAGAAAUUGGGAAUUCCAACUACACAUCCAAAAUAGUUUGACUAAAACUGUUGAAAAAAGAAAAAAAUAAUGGCAUAAAGUAUUGCUUGACUAAAUUCCAGCCAGGUGCAUUGGCCACUUUAGGUCGGGUGUGGUGGCUCAUGCUUGUAAUCCCAGCAUUUUGGGAGGCUGAGGCGGGAGGAUCACUUGAGGUCAGGAGUUCCAAACCAGUCUGGCCAAAAUGGUAAAACCCCCUCUCUACUAAAAAUACAAAAAUUAGCCGGACCUGGUGGCGGAAGCCUGUAAUCCCAGCUACUCUGGAGGCUGAGGCACGAAAAUUGCUUGAACCCAGGAGGUGGAGGUUGCAUUGAACCAAGAUCAUACCACUGCACUCUAGCCUGUGUGACAGAGAAAGAUUCCGUCUCAAGAAACAAAAA